GACGAACCGUGCGAACGUUGUUCGGAAUCACUGGGCUUAAAGGGCGCGUAGGCGGCGCAACAAGUCACUUGUGAAAUCUCCGGGCUUAACCCGGAGCGGUCAAGUGAUACUGUCGUGCUAGAGUGCGGAAGGGGCUACUGGAAUUCUCGGUGUAGCGGUGAAAUGCGUAGAUAUCGAGAGGAACACCUGCGGCGAAGGCGGGUAGCUGGGCCGACACUGACGCUGAUGCGCGAAAGCCAGGGGAGCGAACGGG
rnacentral:rRNA from 1 species